rnacentral:rRNA from 1 species
AUUGAACGCUGGCGGCAGGCCUAACACAUGCAAGUCGAGCGGAUGACGGGAGCUUGCUCCUUGAUUCAGCGGCGGACGGGUGAGUAAUGCCUAGGAAUCUGCCUGGUAGUGGGGGACAACGUUUCGAAAGGAACGCUAAUACCGCAUACGUUCUACGAGAGAAAGCAGGGGACCUUAGGGCCUUGCGCUAUCAGAUGCGCCUAGGUCGGAUUAGCUAGUUGGUGGGGUAAUGGCGCACCAAGGCGACGAUCCGUAACUGGUCUGAGAGGAUGAUCAGUCACACUGGAACUGAGACACGGUCCAGACUCCUACGGGAGGCAGCAGUGGGGAAUAUUGGACAAUGGGCGAAAGCCUGAUCCAGCCAUGCCGCAUGUGUGAAGAAGGUCUUCGGAUUGUAAAGCACUUUAAGUUGGGAGGAAGGGCAGUAAGUUAAUACCUUGCUGUUUUGACGUUACCGACAGAAUAAGCACCGGCUAACUCUGUGCCAGCAGCCGCGGUAA